rnacentral:rRNA from 1 species
CCUACGGGAGGCAGCAGUGAGGAAUAUUGGUCAAUGGACGAGAGUCUGAACCAGCCAAGUAGCGUGAAGGAUGACUGCCCUAUGGGUUGUAAACUUCUUUUAUAUGGGAAUAAAACGUUCCACGUGUGGGAUUUUGUAUGUACCAUAUGAAUAAGGAUCGGCUAACUCCGUGCCAGCAGCCGCGGUAAUACGGAGGUUCCGAGCGUUAUCCGGAUUUAUUGGGUUUAAAGGGAGCGUAGGUGGAUUGUUAAGUCAGUUGUGAAAGUUUGCGGCUCAACCGUAAAAUUGCAGUUGAAACUGGCAGUCUUGAGUACAGGAGAGGUGGGCGGAAUUCGUGGUGUAGCGGUGAAAUGCUUAGAUAUCACGAAGAACUCCGAUUGCGAAGGCAGUUCACUGGACUGCAACUGACACUGAGGCUCGAAAGUGUGGGUAUCAAACAGGAUUAGAUACCCUGGUAGUC